rnacentral:lncRNA from 1 species
AAUAAAAAUAAUUGCAGUUGAAAUAUAAUCAGCAGGAUAUUUUUUUGUCAUUUAAAAUUUCUUUCCAAAUUAAUAUAAAGCUUUAACAAGGGAAAAAAAAGGAAAAGGAAAAGAGAAUAGUUUCAUGACAGCUUCUCAAGGGGGACACUGAUGGCACCUCGUUUGGAGGCAAACUUUUUUUCACGAAGAUUCAGUGCGGCAAUAAAGACGCUGGCGGAUUUAACGUAGCGUGUCUUCGUUAAGCAAGUCAAACGUAGACCCAACUUUUCCCUUCUUGUCUUCUUGGUUUAAAAUAACUGGUUGUGUUCGAAACCUUCUCAUGUAAAAUUGACUAAACUAUGAAGGAAUCUCUACUUUAACUAUAACAUUUAUGAAAUAAAAUAGAUACUACUAAAAGUUAUUCUCAUUAUCCAAAUAAAAUAUGGAAAAGAAGAAGAAAAAUUGAAAAAGGUAUGAUAUCUUCCCCGACCUAUUGGCGCCAAAAUGAUCGUUAAUGUUUCUCUGUCGGUUGUUUUGUUUAAGUUUCAUCUACCCGUCGGAGCAGUUAGAACUUGUUUCCACAACGUCGAGACGUUAGUCUGCCACGAUCAUCGAGACUCGUAAAAAAACUCGUAAAAUUGUAGCAAUGAUACUACUGUCUGUCGUGGAUCUGAAGAAGGAAAAUUGGUAAAGUUUAGAGAAUCUAAUGGUGUCUAUUAUACGAUUUAGGGGUUAUUCUGAUAUUGUUUUACCUAACGACAAAUAACAGAAGUCGAGUGGGAAAAGAUGUUUACCUGAAGAGCUACCUCUAGAGAUGACACAGUUACUUAGCAUAGUUGUUGAUAUUCGAAUCAAAACUACUUCUUCAUGGGGAUCUGUUUAAUUACAGGAACUUUAAACAAACGAACUAGUUUCUAUAAACACGUGCUACUUGGCUGGAGGUAUACCGACGGAUACGUUAUAAUAGUUACUAUCAAAGAUUACUAUUUAGAUGUUUAGAUUCAUAAAUAUAAUAUAUCUAUAUAAUAUGCAUUAUACUCUUAUUUAUUUUAAUAAUAAUA